CUAGCUCAGGCCAAGAGCAGAGGGACAGCGGGGACCCUCGCCGCCCACUGUGCGCCCGUAGCCUGGGCUCAGCGAGCGGCGGGCGGCGCUCGGUGUGAUGCGGAAAAUGUGAGAGGCAGUGCAGGGCAGUGGGGAGGUGGGCGCGGAAAAGGGCGGCGGCAAGGCAGAAGGAAAGGCAGCGGGAGAGGCCGGAGACUGGUCGGGGACAGGUGGAAGACAAGAGCAGCGACCGAAAGAAUCAAGAGCACACGGCUGUGGGCGGGAGUGCGGGGGAAGCCGCAGGAGUGGGGUAGCUGGGCCCGGGGCUGGGGUUGUUAGCGCGGCCACGACGGGGCAGGGCACAGCGGAGGAGCGGGAACGCCCGCCGGGUGUCCUCUGGGAGCAGCGGGGAACGUGAGGCGCGGUCGGCCCAGGAAGGGUCUCGCGGAGAGGUCGUUGUGGCAGCGGGGAACCUUGAUGAGCUCCCCAGGAGGGCGAGAACCCAAAGUGCAGAGUCGGGUGUGUAGCGGCGGGGGUGUGUGCGCGCCCGGGUGUGCGCGAGUGUGAGCGCACGGGCGGGUGGGAGCGCGCGUUAGGGAUUCUGCUGGCAUCGCAGCGUGGAGAGCAGGAGGCAGGAGCCGGGCGCGCAGGGGAGCGCGGGGGCUCUGCCGCGCACACGUCGUGCGCGCUCUCUUGUGCACAUACACUCUUUUGCACACACACACACACACACACACACACACACACACACACACACACACACGCCUUUUCUGCUUCGUUGGUUGCUGCUGCCACCAUCUCGGAGCUGAGCCCUGCGGAGCGAGAACCCAAGCUGGAGCUGGGAUCGGAGGCGAGCCCAGCCUGGUGAUGCCGGCCCAGAGCAGAGCCCCGCGCGGACGACUAGCUCUGAUGCCUCCUGUAUCCAUAGGCCCUGAGAUUCUGGUACCUAUGGGCAAAAGGGCCAACUGAACCAGGCCUAGGCUGAUUCCAGCCCAGCUGCACCCAGCACUACCCAGUCACAGGUAAGAGGCCAUUUGUGGGUUAGUGGGGCUUUUAGGGAGGGCUGUCUCGGGGCCCUCUAUCCACAUGCUUCCAUCUGUCCCUCUCCUCUGCAAUCCAACCCCAGUAGCCCUUGCUGUGGCCGGUCCUGGUCUGCAGCCAGCUCGGAAG
rnacentral:lncRNA from 1 species